rnacentral:rRNA from 1 species
UGAGGAAUAUUGGUCAAUGGGCGCAAGCCUGAACCAGCCAUGCCGCGUGCAGGAUGAAGCAUCUAUGGUGUGUAAACUGCUUUUGUACGGAGCGAAAAGGUCUGCUCUAAUACGGUGGGCUCAUGACGGUACCGUAAGAAUAAGCACCGGCUAACUACGUGCCAGCAGCCGCGGUAAUACGUAGGGUGCGAGCGUUAAUCGGAUUUACUGGGCGUAAAGCGUGCGUAGGCGGCUUUUUAAGUCGGAUGUGAAAUCCCCGAGCUUAACUUGGGAAUUGCAUUCGAUACUGGGAAGCUAGAGUAUGGGAGAGGAUGGUAGAAUUCCAGGUGUAGCGGUGAAAUGCGUAGAGAUCUGGAGGAACACCGAUGGCGAAGGCAAUCCCCUGGACCUGUACUGACGCUCAUGCACGAAAGCGUGGGGAGCAAACA